UUUUUGAAGAUCAGGGGGAUUUUCAAGUUUUUGCAAGGUUACUAGUUUGGUUUCAUUGGAGGUUUUUGAAGAUCAGGGGGAUUUUCAAGUUUUUGCAAGGUUACUAGUUCGGUUUCAUUAGAGGUUUUUGAAGAUCAGGGGGGUUUUCAAGUUUUUGCAAGGUUACUAGUUCGGUUUCAUUCGAGGUUUUUUUUGAAGAUCAAGGGGAUUAGAGAGAGGAGCUUCAUGCUUCGGGUCAGGGAAGGAAAGACAUAGAAUUUGGAUUUUUCUUCUUCGUAGAGUUUUGGGAAGACUGAGGCAAUCGCUGCUGAAGUCAGUAUUGUAAUGGUGAAUCAGGAUUUUUAAUGAAGUGGGUUUGAAUACUCUUGACUGUUUUAUGAAAUCGAGUUACGUUUGUGAUUGAAGGAUUAAAAAGGUGUCUAUAGGAUUGAGUAUGCGGAGUGAAUGAAAUUUAUUGGGUUAAUCUAACAAGACAGUCAGUGGAUACAAGAUCGUAAGUACAAAGCGGUAUUGAAGAUUAACAGUUUGGGUUGUUUGGGGUUCUCUGUAACGUCUAGAGAC
rnacentral:lncRNA from 1 species